AGCCGGCGUUAGAGCGGAUGUUCUCAGUGUUUAGCUUUGGAGUAUUGAAACCAGCACGAGCAGCGAUUCUUUCUCUCAAACCACCUCUUGAAACGUUGUUGUUCUGUGAGGAAUCAUUGUUAUUAUCAUUAUUGCCAGUAGUGUCUUCUUGUAAACCAGUGACUUGACCAUGAUUCAAAGAGAGCUCUCUUUCGAGAACACGUUUAGAGUAGGGUUGCAAGGAACCCAUUCUCCCAUUACAGCAACGUUUUCAUCAAAACCAGACAUUUAAGAUCCGAGAAGUUGACUGAGUCUUUGCUUAAACUGUGAUGAAACUCCUGAAAAGAAGAGUAAAAGGCAGUCACAAUCAGAAUCAGAAUCUUCUGAAGACAUGAGCAUAAUAAAACUAUUAAACAAUAUUAAUCUAGCUAAGUAACACAAAAAGAUGACUUGAGACAAUUAUAACUGAACUAGUGAGCGUAAAAACACAAAUAGAAAAAAAAAGAAUUUUAAAGUUCAAACCUUUUCUCGGAGUCGACAAAAAUAAAUCAUAGACAAAACAAAAAAAAUGUUAUAAGAAGAACAACAAGAUCUUUUUCUCUUUCACACGUUAAUCAACUUUUAUGGAAUUGAAAUAUUUGAUUUUACGAUAAUAACGAAAUUAGAUCGAGAAAUAUUUGGAAAUGAAUCAUUAGCAGAAAGAAGUGAUCGAAUCACGGAGGUUAAAAAGAGGAAACAAAAAAACAAUAAGACAACGUCAAGUUAUAGAUUAAACCAGACGGUAAGCAAAAAAACACAAGAUGUGAUUAAACAAAUCAUGUCUUUUUUAACAAAUCCUGAAUUUAAGUUAAAGAUUAAAAAAAAAACAUUUUAAACGUAUGAAAGGAUUAAAUCACAAAAAAAAAAACGGAAAAAGGAAAAUCGAUGGAGACAA